ACGGAGGAUCCGGGCGUUAUCCGGAAUUACUGGGUUUAAAGGGUGCGUAGGCGGGGCUUUAAGCCGGCGGUGAAAUGCAGCGGCUCAACCGCUGGAAUGCCUCUGGGACUGGGGCUCUUGGAUACGGUCGGGGCGGGUGGAACUCGUGGUGUGGCGGUGAAAUGCAUAGUUUUCACGGGGAACGCCGGUAGCGAAGGGAUCUCGCCGGGCCUGUAUUUACGCUGAUCCAUGAAAGCUUUGGGAUCGAAAAG
rnacentral:rRNA from 1 species